GCAGGGGAUCGCAAGACCUUGCGCUGAUUGAGCGGCCGAUAUCAGAUUAGCUAGUUGGUGAGGUAAAGGCUCACCAAGGCGACGAUCUGUAGCGGGUCUGAGAGGAUGAUCCGCCACACUGGAACUGAGACACGGUCCAGACUCCUACGGGAGGCAGCAGUGGGGAAUUUUGGACAAUGGGGGCAACCCUGAUCCAGCCAUGCCGCGUGAGUGAAGAAGGCCUUCGGGUUGUAAAGCUCUUUCGGCCGGGAAGAAAUCGUAUGGGUUAAUACCCUGUGCGGAUGACGGUACCGGCAUGAGAAGCACCGGCUAACUACGUGCCAGCAGCCGCGGUAAUACGUAGGGUGCGAGCGUUAAUCGGAAUUACUGGGCGUAAAGCGUGCGCAGGCGGUUUUGUAAGACAGGCGUGAAAUCCCCGGGCUCAACCUGGGAACUGCGCUUGUGACUGCAAGGCUAGAGUAUGGCAGAGGGGGGUGGAAUUCCACGUGUAGCAGUGAAAUGCGUAGAGAUGUGGAGGAACACCAAUGGCGAAGGCAGCCCCCUGGGCCAAUACUGACGCUCAUGCACGAAAGCGUGGGUAGCAAACAGGAUUAGAUACCCUGGUAGUCCACGCCCUAAACGAUGUCAACUAGGUGUUGGGUGGGUAAAACCAUUUAGUACCGGAGCUAACGCGUGAAGUUGACCGCCUGGGGAGUACGGCCGCAAGGUUAAAACUCAAAGGAAUUGACGGGGACCCGCACAAGCGGUGGAUGAUGUGGAUUAAUUCGAUGCAACGCGAAAAACCUUACCUACCCUUGACAUGUCCAGGAGCCUGAAGAGAUUUGGGUGUGCCCGAAAGGGAACUGGAACACAGGUGCUGCAUGGCUGUCGUCAGCUCGUGUCGUGAGAUGUUGGGUUAAGUCCCGCAACGAGCGCAACCCUUGUCGUUAAUUGCCAUCAUUUAGUUGGGCACUUUAACGAGACUGCCGGUGACAAACCGGAGGAAGGUGGGGAUGACGUCAAGUCCUCAUGGCCCUUAUGGGUAGGGCUUCACACGUCAUACAAUGGUCGGUACAAAGGGUUGCCAACCCGCGAGGGGGAGCCAAUCCCAGAAAGCCGAUCGUAGUCCGGAUCGCAGGCUGCAACUCGCCUGCGUGAAGUCGGAAUCGCUAGUAAUCGUGGAUCAGCAUGUCACGGUGAAUACGUUCCCGGGUCUUGUACACACCGCCCGUCACACCAUGGGAGCGGGUUCCGCCAGAAGUAGGUAGCCUAACCGCAAGGGGGGCGCUUACCACGGCGGGGUUCGUGACUGGGGUGAAGUCGUAACAAGGUA
rnacentral:rRNA from 1 species